GGUCGGACGCCGCUGAGUCGCCUUCGGGCGAGCCGGGGACCCACCGAUCCACUGGGGUGAAUCCCGCGCUCCGGACCUCCGUCCGGUGUGCAGGUAGGGCUGCUUCCGCCCGAACCCGUCAGCUGACCUGGUAGGCGGCACGUCGGAAGACAC
rnacentral:sRNA from 2 species